GGAGGUAGAGCUCGACUCACUUGGUCGUCUUUUUAACGAACUUGCUGACGCUCCCUCUUCUUAGGGUCACACAAAAAACAGUCGAGCCGGCAACACUGAGGUAAUAUCAAUCUCAUCCAACUCGGAAACUUUUGUCCCGAAGAGAACAAGACAAGCCAUCAAGAAGGUACCAUUUUCGCAUCCAGAUGCUCAUUUAGAUCCAAAUUUUCUUUUGAAGAAAAAUCAACAGACCUUCACAUCCAAAAGGAAGACCCGGAACAGCCCCAGGGAAUUAACCGUCGGCUUAUCUGAUGAGCCGGCCACUCAAAGACAACGAGUUAAGGAAUCACCGCCCUCCUCUAGAGAGUCAACCACCUCACAGCUCCCAUCUCUUACGAUCAAGCUUAGGUAAGCAUUUCUUGCAGCAUAAUUUUCCUUGUCAUCAUAACUGCUUCUUUAACCUGAUGUUACUCUCAUGUCUUCAGGGCCAAAGGCAUUUCAAAGAAGAAAGCUGGCGGGUCAUCUUCCACCACAGCAGAUCUCGAGACUGAAGACCCGCCAAUGGUGACUCCAAAGAUCCAAGCUAAAACUACAGGCGAGGAUAAGUCAGACCAAAGGGUAGAGCCGGUGAUGAUGGAAGAGCCGACCAGUGCUGUGUUGGGGAACAUUGCAUGGGAAACAGAAAAAUUCCUAUGCUCACCAAGAUCAAUCUAGGAGAUGGACAUCUAUGGGAGGAUAGAUUGCAUCUACAUACCCUUGUAGAUCGCUAAGCGGAAGCGUUAAGAAACGCGGUUGAUGUAGUCGAACGUCUUCGCGAUCCAAUCACAAUAUGUCCUGCGAACUCC